rnacentral:tRNA from 1 species
AUUCAGGUAGUUUAAUAAAAAAUAUUGAUUUGUGGUGUCAAAGAAAUUAAAAAAUUCUGAAUU